rnacentral:SRP_RNA from 1 species
UUCGGCAAACGGAUGCGACCAGCUCCUGCUGAAUCCCCCAGGACCGGAAGGUAGCAAGGGUAGGCGGUUGUAGCGGUGCGACAUUUCGUUUGCCUUUUUU